rnacentral:rRNA from 1 species
AAGUCUGGUGCCAGCAGCCGCGGUAAUUCCAGCUCCAAUAGCGUAUAUUAAAAUUGUUGCGUCUAAAAAGCUCGUAGUUUGAAAACUUGCCUUGGCUCGUAUCAGGUCCUUUAAUGGGCCGCCGCUUGUCGGGGCAAAUAUCGAUGACUGUUUUUGCCGACUUCACUGUUUGGCUUAUAAGAGUUAUCAAAUAUCACUUUGAUUAAAUUAGAGUGCUUAAAGCAAGUGUGUUACUUGGAUAUAAAUGCAUGGAAUGAUGGAAUAUGUUGUUGUUCUAUUUGUUGGUUUUUUGAACGAUAAAAUGAUUGAAAGGAACUGUUGGGGGCAUUCGUAUUGUUGUGAGAGAGGUGAAAUUCUUAGACCACAGCAAGACGAACUACUGCUAAAGCAUUUGCCAAGAAUGUUUUCAUUGAUCAAGAACGAAAGUUAGAGGUUCGAAGGCGAUCAGAUAUCGCCCUAGUUCUAACCAUAA